GAUGAAGAACGCAGCGAAAUGCGAUAAGUAAUGUGAAUUGCAGAAUUCAGUGAAUCAUCGAAUCUUUGAACGCACCUUGCGCCCUUUGGCCAUUCCGAAGGGCAUGCCUGUUUGAGUAUCAUGAACACCUCAACUCUUUAUGGUUUUCCAUGAUGAGCUUGGACUCUGGGGGUUUUGCUGGCUCACAGUCGGCUCCUCUAAAAUGAAUCAGCUUACCAGUGUUUGGUGGGUAUCAUGGGUGUGAUAACUAUCUACGCUUGUGGUUUUUCCACCAGGUAACCUUCAGCAGUGGAGGUUCGCUGGAGCUCAUAGAUGUCUCUCCUCAGUGAGGACAUCCCUUUGAAUGUUUGAUCUCAAAUCAGGUAGGACUACCCGCUGAACUUAAGCAUAUCAAUAAGCGGAGGA
rnacentral:misc_RNA from 1 species